AACGCACAUUGCGCCCGCUAGUAUUCUGGCGGGCAUGCCUGUUCGAGCGUCAUUUCAACCAUCAAGCGCCUGCGCUUGUGUUGGAGCCCUGCGGCUGCCGCAGGCUCCCAAACCCAGUGGCGGGCUUGUCGUCGUACCGAGUGCAGUAAACUUACCACGCUCAGGGCGCGCGACGGGUGACCGGCCGUAAAACACCCCAUUUAUCAAGGUUGACCUCGGAUCAGGUAGGAAUACCCGCUGAACUUAA
rnacentral:misc_RNA from 1 species